AAGUCGUAACAAGGUUUCUGUAGGUGAACCUGCAGAGGGAUCAUUAGUGAAAGUUUCGGGCCUGCCAUACGGACGCAAACACGUCUCUGGCGCCCAUCACUAUAUCCAUACCAACCCCUGUGCACUGUGAUGACGAAUGUCAUCGAACAAAAAAACUCGUAUGGUUGAAUGUACGUGAAAUUGUAGGUAUAGCCUACGAACUAUACACAA
rnacentral:misc_RNA from 1 species